rnacentral:rRNA from 1 species
GGAGGAAAAGAAACUAACAAGGAUUCCCCUAGUAACGGCGAGUGAAGUGGGAAAAGCUCAACUUUGAAAUCUGGUACUUUCAGUAUCCGAAUUGUAGUCUCAAGAAGUGUUUUCUGUGCCGGUCCAUGUAUGAGUCUGUUGGAACACAGCGUCAUAGAGGGUGACAACCCCGUUCAUGACAUGGAUCCCGGUGCUUUGUGAUACACUCUCGAAGAGUCGAGUUGUUUGGGAAUGCAGCUCAAAUUGGGUGGUAAAUUCCAUCUAAAGCUAAAUAUUGGCGAGAGACCGAUAGCAAACAAGUACCGUGAGGGAAAGAUGAAAAGCACUUUGGAAAGAGAGUUAACAGUACGUGAAAUUGUUGAAAGGGAAACGAUUGAAGUCAGACGUGCGUGAUGCGGUUCAGCUUUAGUUCGCUAGAGUGUACUCCGUAUCUUUGCAGGCCAACAUCGGUUUUGUUAGUCGGAUAAAGGUUUGAGAAAUGUGGCACCUUCGGGUGUGUUAUAGUCUCAGACUGAAUACGAUUGAUGGGACCGAGGAACGCAGCGCGCCGCAAGGCAAAGGUUCCGACCUUUUCGCGCUUAGGAUGUUGGUGAAAUGGCUUUAAACGACCCGUC